UACGUAGGGUGCGAGCGUUGUUCGGAUUCAUUGGGCGUAAAGGGUGCGUAGGCGGCGCGGUAAGUCGGGUGUGAAAUCUUGGAGCUUAACUCCGAAACUGCAUUCGAUACUGCCGUGCUUGAGGACUGGAGAGGAGACUGGAAUUUACGGUGUAGCGGUGAAAUGCGUAGAUAUCGUACGGAAGACCAGUGGCGAAGGCGGGUCUCUGGACAGUUCCUGACGCUGAGGCACGAAGGCCAGGGGAGCAAACGGG
rnacentral:rRNA from 1 species